rnacentral:rRNA from 1 species
GAUGAACGCUAGCUACAGGCUUAACACAUGCAAGUCGAGGGGAAACGGCAUUGAGUGCUUGCACUCUUUGGACGUCGACCGGCGCACGGGUGAGUAACGCGUAUCCAACCUUCCCAUUACUGUGGGAUAACCUGCCGAAAGGCAGACUAAUACCGCAUAGUCUUCGAUGACGGCAUCAGAUUUGAAGUAAAGAUUUAUCGGUGAUGGAUGGGGAUGCGUCUGAUUAGCUUGUUGGCGGGGUAACGGCCCACCAAGGCUACGAUCAGUAGGGGUUCUGAGAGGAAGGUCCCCCACAUUGGAACUGAGACACGGUCCAAACUCCUACGGGAGGCAGCAGUGAGGAAUAUUGGUCAAUGGACGGAAGUCUGAACCAGCCAAGUAGUGUGCAGGAUGACGGCCCUAUGGGUUGUAAACUGCUUUUGUAUGGGGAUAAAGUUAGGGACGUGUCCCUAUUUGCAGGUACCAUACGAAUAAGGACCGGCUAAUUCCGUGCCAGCAGCCGCGGUAAUACGGAAGGUCCAGGCGUUAUCCGGAUUUAUUGGGUUUAAAGGGAGCGUAGGCUGGAGAUUAAGUGUGUUGUGAAAUGUAGACGCUCAACGUCUGAAUUGCAGCGCAUACUGGUUUCCUUGAGUACGCACAACGUUGGCGGAAUUCGUCGUGUAGCGGUGAAAUGCUUAGAUAUGACGAAGAACUCCGAUUGCGAAGGCAGCUGACGGGAGCGCAACUGACGCUUAAGCUCGAAGGUGCGGGUAUCAAACAGG